rnacentral:misc_RNA from 1 species
GAUGAAGAACGCAGCGAAAUGCGAUAAGUAAUGUGAAUUGCAGAAUUCAGUGAAUCAUCGAAUCUUUGAACGCACCUUGCGCCUUUUGGUAUUCCGAAAGGCACACCUGUUUGAGCGUCAUGAAUACCUCAAUCUCCAUCUUUUCUUCGGAUUGAUGGGUGACUUGGAUGUUGAGCCCUGCUGGUAUGCUAUAUCAGCUGGCUUUAAACUUAUUAGCCGGCUCUGUACUGGAUCGGUUUGACUCGACGUGAUAAUAUUAUCGUUGAGGAUGCAUGUUUCAUGCAGCCGGAAAGUAUCAAAGCAGCUUCUAGCUUGCCUUUAGUGCACUUUUACAUUUUAGACCUCAGAUCAGGUGGGACUACCCGCUGAACUUAAGCAUAUCAAUAAGCGGAGGA